rnacentral:rRNA from 2 species
GCCCGCGGCCAUAGCAAUUGGGGAAACACCCGGUCCCGUCCCGAACCCGGAAGUUAAGCCCAAUUGCGUUGUGGGCGGUACUGCCGAACAGGCGGGAAACCCACAAGCUGCGGGCA